rnacentral:rRNA from 1 species
UACGUAGGGUGCAAGCGUUGUCCGGAAUUAUUGGGCGUAAAGAGCUCGUAGGCGGUCUGUUGCGUCGGCUGUGAAAACCCGGGGCUCAACCCCGGGCCUGCAGCCGAUACGGGCAGACUAGAGUUCGGCAGGGGAGACUGGAAUUCCUGGUGUAGCGGUGAAAUGCGCAGAUAUCAGGAGGAACACCCGUGGCGAAAGCGGCUCUCUGGAACGGUACUGACGCUGAGACGCGAAAGCGUGGGGAGCGAACAGG